UUCUGUUUAGUUUUUCCUCUUCACUAAUUACUGUGAAUUUGUUGCUUUUAAUUCAUGCAUGCUUAGUGCUUGAUUAAUUGUCUCUGCGCUUAAUUUACGUUCAUGCUUAAUGAUCGUUUAUGAGUAAUUGGUGUAUGUGAUGCUUAAUCACAUAAUGAAUGCCUUAUGUUGAAUGUCGCUUAGUAAUUUAAUUUAGGGUUGGAUUAAGUGGUUAAACUGAUAAAGGAUAAACUCUCGUAACCUAGGAUAAGAGACUUGCUUGUGAAUCAAG
rnacentral:lncRNA from 1 species